rnacentral:rRNA from 1 species
UACGUAGGGUGCAGGCGUUAAUCGGAAUUACAGGGCGUAAAGCGUGCGCAGGCGGUUUUUUAAGUCAGAUGUGAAAUCCCCGGGCUUAACCUGGGAACUGCGUCUGAAACUGGAAAGCUUGAGUGCGGCAGAGGGGGGUGGAAUUCCACGUGUAGCAGUGAAAUGCGUAGAUAUCUGGAGGAACACCGGUGGCGAAGGCGGCAUCCUGGACCAACACUGACACUGAGGAGCGAAAGCCAGGGGAGCAAACGGG